AUUGCCUCAGUAACGGCGAGUGAAGCGGCAACAGCUCAAAUUUGAAAUCUGGCCCCCCGGCCCGAGUUGUAAUUUGCAGAGGAUGCUUUUGGCGAGGUGCCUUCCGAGUUCCCUGGAACGGGACGCCAUAGAGGGUGAGAGCCCCGUCUGGUCGGACACCGAGCCUCUGUAAAGCUCCUUCGACGAGUCGAGUAGUUUGGGAAUGCUGCUCAAAAUGGGAGGUAUAUGUCUUCUAAAGCUAAAUACCGGCCAGAGACCGAUAGCGCACAAGUAGAGUGAUCGAAAGAUGAAAAGCACUUUGAAAAGAGAGUUAAAUAGCACGUGAAAUUGUUGAAAGGGAAGCGUUUAUGACCAGACUUGGCCCGGUUGAUCAUCCAGCGUUCUCGCUGGUGCACUCUGCCGGUCCAGGCCAGCAUCAGUUCGCCGCGGGGGAAAAAGGCUUCGGGAAUGUGGCUCCUCCGGGAGUGUUAUAGCCCGUUGCGUAAUACCCUGCGGUGGACUGAGGUCCGCGCUCUGCAAGGAUGCUGGCGUAAUGGUCAUCAACGACCCGUCUUGAAACACGGACCAAGGAGUCGUCUUCGUAUGCGAGUGUUCGGGUGCAAAACCCCUACGCGUAAUGAAAGUGAACGCAGGUGAGAGCUUCGGCGCAUCAUCGACCGAUCCUGAUGUUCUCGGAUGGAUUUGAGUAAGAGCAUACGGGGCCGGACCCGAAAGAAGGUGAACUAUGCCUGUAUAGGGUGAAGCCAGAGGAAACUCUGGUGGAGGCUCGCAGCGGUUCUGACGUGCAAAUCGAUCGUCAAAUAUGGGCAUGGGGGCGAAAGACUAAU
rnacentral:rRNA from 1 species